rnacentral:lncRNA from 1 species
CAUUGGUUUGGCGCCCCUGGAAGGAAAUUUGAGGUUUAACGCGGCGGCAGAGAAAAUGGAUCAUGAGGGGCUUGGUGGUCCAUGUCUUCAGGCGUUUGACCAAGGGGAUAAUGGAGCUAGAGAUAUUUGUAUUGAAUCUCGGUUGUUCUUCUGGCAUUCAAAUUCCAUUCCACUCGAUAUACUUAAAAAUAUAGAUUUUCUAAAAGUACUCUCUUUAAUUGAUUUUUAGAAAAUGCCUCUAUAUUUAAUUAAUUUUUCGAUUUUAGUUACAAUUAAAUGGGUUAGUGAAUAUGGCCAUUUUGAUUUUCAUUCUAUUUAAUUUCGAUUUUGGUGGUGC